GAAACACGUAACCUUAAAAACGGAUGGUACAACGAACAAACACCGCCGUGCAGAAACCGUUCCGUCGCUCGGGUUCCUCAGGUCGCUUCGGUAAACCUGGCGGUCACCGGUGUCAAACAUCUACGUUAUCAAACGUGUUCAAAGUUCCUCCCCGGACUCGACUGUCGGGCCGGCCGGUUCUGCUCAACCGAUACUGAACCGGGCCAUUCACGAUGGGGAUCAUCCGGAUAUUAUUCUCUCUCCUCAAUAACCCGCGGGUCAUCGAGAAGUUGGCUGAAUCCCGCAUUAUACGGCGGGCGGCUCAGAUCACCGCCUACGCGCUGACCAAAGCUCAGAUCGCGGGCAGGGACGCGUCGGAUCGGAUCCUCAGCUCCAGCGCGGUGCGGGGGGAAGCCGGCAGGACCCCCGGAGACACGGGGGAGAUGGGCGCUCUCUUCAGGAGACUGCGAGAAACAUUUAUUAAAGAGCUCAAAGAAGGAUGGAGAGACGCUUCCAAACAGAUCAAGAAAUGAAGACUUUAACGUUCUGCGUUCACUCGGUGGACUGACCAGAGCAAUGUGUAGGUUCUCCUUCCCUGCACCGCCUCAUCAGGUGGUCUACCGCCAGGCCUCGGACUUUAUGAGAUGUGGGAUAUAAGGGUGUAAAUAAUGACCUCACUGGAAAGUAUGCCAACCUUUGGUCUUCCAACAGCCAAAAUGAUUGAUACUAUUUAUAUUGUAUAAGUUAUUGCAGUAUUUUCAGUAUGUACAUACAAAUAUACCUUGUGUUAUUGACUCGGAUUUAAUUUCUCAUUUAAAUAAAGUAUGUAAUGCUGUUCAGGCCAUAGCCAUAUUGGUGUAAACUUUAA